rnacentral:rRNA from 1 species
CGUUCGCGCUUCCGCCGGCGACCGGCGCACGGGUGAGUAACACGUAUGGAACCUGCCCGCAGCAGGGGGAUAAUCCGGGGGAAACCCCGUCUAAUACCGCGUAACGACCCGGAGGGGCAUCCCUUCGGGUCCAAAGGUUUACCGGCUGCGGAUGGCCAUGCGUCGCAUUAGCUUGUUGGCGGGGUAACGGCCCACCAAGGCGACGAUGCGUAGGGGUUCUGAGAGGAAGGUCCCCCACACUGGUACUGAGACACGGACCAGACUCCUACGGAAGGCAGCAG